UUGUAAUGCUUAUCCUGCAAACUUUACUGAAACAAAUACAGAGAGAUCCAGAGUAUGUGAAAGCUGUUAAAACUCAUAUAUAUACAUACGCGAUACAUACAAGACUUAAACACUGAAAGGAAAAUCCAUUAUAACUGCUUCAAAGUUUAUGAAGUUUAUUCUCUGUUUAGUAUAAUACUCAAUCUUGGGCUUCAGCAGCUUUGAAUAGAUCUCGCCACUUCCGAGGAUCACUGCCAGGGCCAUCACCCUGCAUAAGUACAAAUCUUAGUUCAGCAAAAUGCGGCAGUUUUCAAAUGAUGAACUUCAUGAUAAUUAUUUAAAACUUGAAAUGGAACAUAUAUAGAACUAAUGCAGGCAGGGGAAAAAUCAAUUGCUGGAAAACUCACACACAGCAAACGGCAAAAAUUACAUGUCUCCAGCCAAUUGUUACAUCUGUCAUAGAUGACAUUAAAAACCUAGGUGUUUCAGUCCCAAAAACACAUUCUACACUUGUUGCGGAGUUGCAGUUUUAUUUUUUUUUUCACAGUACACUACUUAAUAAAUAGAUGAAAACCCACCAUGGGUUUGACUACUGAAGUAAAAAAUUUAUUAAAAAAAUAUAUGUGAUGAUUACAUUUUUCUGAAUGGAAAAAAAAUUUUACAGGCAUCUAUAGGGGUGAGAACUGUUCGGUUUGAAUUGAAUAAACCGUAUCGAACCGCUUUAAUUAGGUAAUUCGAUUUGGUUCGGUUCGGUUUUGCAUUUUAAGAAUUUUAGUUAUUUUGAUUUGAUUCAGUUUUGAAGAGGAAAACGGUUGAACCGAACCGAACCAAAUUACUUUAUUAAUUUUUAAAUUGAUUUAUUUUUAUGGAAAAUUUAUGAAUUAUAUUUAAUUAUAUAUAUAUAUUAAUUGUUUAAUUUCGUUGAUUAAUGGUUAUUUGGUUCAAACCAAAGUCAAAAUUAGGCUAAAUAACUUGAAAAUUAAGUCUAA
rnacentral:misc_RNA from 1 species